rnacentral:misc_RNA from 1 species
GAUGAAGAACGCAGCGAAAUGCGAUACGUAAUGUGAAUUGCAGAAUUCAGUGAAUCAUCGAAUCUUUGAACGCAUAUUGCGCUCUCUGGUAUUCCGGAGAGCAUGCUUGUUUGAGUAUCAGUAAACACCUCAACUCCCUUUUCUUUUUUGAAAUUGGAGCUGGACUUGAGUGAUCCCAACGCUUUCUUCCAAGAAAGUGGCGGGUUGCUUGAAAUGCAGGUGCAGCUGAACUUUUCUCUGAGCUAUAAGCAUAUCUAUUUAGUCUGCCUAAAAAACAGAUUAUUACCUUUGCUGCAGCUAACAUAAAGGAGACUAGUUCUUGUACUGACUGAUGCAGGAUUCACAGAGACAGCUUCGGCUGACUUUGUAAACUCGAUCUCAAAUCAAGUAAGACUACCCGCUGAACUUAAGCAUAUCAAUAAGCGGAGGA